rnacentral:rRNA from 1 species
UCAUGAUGAACGCUAGCUACAGGCUUAACACAUGCAAGUCGAGGGGCAGCAUGGUCUUAGCUUGCUAAGGCCGAUGGCGACCGGCGCACGGGUGAGUAACACGUAUCCAACCUGCCGUCUACUCUUGGACAGCCUUCUGAAAGGAAGAUUAAUACAAGAUGGCAUCAUGAGUCCGCAUGUUCACAUGAUUAAAGGUAUUCCGGUAGACGAUGGGGAUGCGUUCCAUUAGAUAGUAGGCGGGGUAACGGCCCACCUAGUCUUCGAUGGAUAGGGGUUCUGAGAGGAAGGUCCCCCACAUUGGAACUGAGACACGGUCCAAACUCCUACGGGAGGCAGCAGUGAGGAAUAUUGGUCAAUGGGCGAGAGCCUGAACCAGCCAAGUAGCGUGAAGGAUGACUGCCCUAUGGGUUGUAAACUUCUUUUAUAAAGGAAUAAAGUCGGGUAUGGAUACCCGUUUGCAUGUACUUUAUGAAUAAGGAUCGGCUAACUCCGUGCCAGCAGCCGCGGUAAUACGGAGGAUCCGAGCGUUAUCCGGAUUUAUUGGGUUUAAAGGGAGCGUAGAUGGAUGUUUAAGUCAGUUGUGAAAGUUUGCGGCUCAACCGUAAAAUUGCAGUUGAUACUGGAUAUCUUGAGUGCAGUUGAGGCAGGCGGAAUUCGUGGUGUAGCGGUGAAAUGCUUAGAUAUCACGAAGAACUCCGAUUGCGAAGGCAGCCUGCUAAGCUGCAACUGUCAUUGAGGCUCGAAAGUGUGGGUAUCAAACAGGAUUAGAUACCCUGGUAGUCCACACGGUAAACGAUGAGUACUCGCUGUUUGCGAUAUACGGCAAGCGGCCAAGCGAAAGCGUUAAGUAUUCCACCUGGGGAGUACGCCGGCAACGGUGAAACUCAAAGGAAUUGACGGGGGCCCGCACAAGCGGAGGAACAUGUGGUUUAAUUCGAUGAUACGCGAGGAACCUUACCCGGGCUUAAAUUGCAGAUGAAUUACGGUGAAAGCCGUAAGCCGCAAGGCAUCUGUGAAGGUGCUGCAUGGUUGUCGUCAGCUCGUGCCGUGAGGUGUCGGCUUAAGUGCCAUAACGAGCGCAACCCUUGUUGUCAGUUACUAACAGGUUCUGCUGAGGACUCUGACAAGACUGCCAUCGUAAGAUGUGAGGAAGGUGGGGAUGACGUCAAAUCAGCACGGCCCUUACGUCCGGGGCUACACACGUGUUACAAUUGGGGGUACAGAGGGCCGCUACCACGCGAGUGGAUGCCAAUCCCAAAAACCUCUCUCAGUUCGGACUGGAGUCUGCAACCCGACUCCACGAAGCUGGAUUCGCUAGUAAUCGCGCAUCAGCCACGGCGCGGUGAAUACGUUCCCGGGCCUUGUACACACCGCCCGUCAAGCCAUGGGAGCCGGGGGUACCUGAAGUGCGUAACCGCGAGGAGCGCCCUAGGGUAAAAC